rnacentral:rRNA from 1 species
UAAGGGCGCACGGUGGAUGCCUUGGCACUAGAAGCCGAUGAAGGACGUUACUAACGACGAUAUGCUUUGGGGAGCUGUAAGUAAGCUUUGAUCCAGAGAUUUCCGAAUGGGGAAACCCAGCAUGAGUUAUGUCAUGUUAUCGAUAUGUGAAUACAUAGCAUAUCAGAAGGCACACCCGGAGAACUGAAACAUCUUAGUACCCGGAGGAAGAGAAAGAAAAUUCGAUUCCCUUAGUAGCGGCGAGCGAAACGGGAAGAGCCCAAACCAACAAGCUUGCUUGUUGGGGUUGUAGGACACUCUAUACGGAGUUACAAAGGACGACAUUAGACGAAUCAUCUGGAAAGAUGAAUCAAAGAAGGUAAUAAUCCUGUAGUCGAAAAUGUUGUCUCUCUUGAGUGGAUCCUGAGUACGACGGAGCACGUGAAAUUCCGUCGGAAUCUGGGAGGACCAUCUCCUAAGGCUAAAUACUCUCUAGUGACCGAUAGUGAACCAGUACCGUGAGGGAAAGGUGAAAAGCACCCCGGAAGGGGAGUGAAAUAGAACCUGAAACCGUGUGCUUACAAGUAGUCAGAGCCCGUUAAUGGGUGAUGGCGUGCCUUUUGUAGAAUGAACCGGCGAGUUACGAUUUGAUGCAAGGUUAAGCAGUAAAUGUGGAGCCGUAGCGAAAGCGAGUCUGAAUAGGGCGUUUAGUAUUUGGUCGUAGACCCGAAACCAGGUGAUCUACCCUUGGUCAGGUUGAAGUUCAGGUAACACUGAAUGGAGGACCGAACCGACUUACGUUGAAAAGUGAGCGGAUGAACUGAGGGUAGCGGAGAAAUUCCAAUCGAACCUGGAGAUAGCUGGUUCUCUCCGAAAUAGCUUUAGGGCUAGCCUCAAGUGAUGAUUAUUGGAGGUAGAGCACUGUUUGGACGAGGGGCCCCUCUCGGGUUACCGAAUUCAGACAAACUCCGAAUGCCAAUUAAUUUAACUUGGGAGUCAGAACAUGGGUGAUAAGGUCCGUGUUCGAAAGGGAAACAGCCCAGACCACCAGCUAAGGUCCCAAAAUAUAUGUUAAGUGGAAAAGGAUGUGGCGUUGCCCAGACAACUAGGAUGUUGGCUUAGAAGCAGCCAUCAUUUAAAGAGUGCGUAAUAGCUCACUAGUCGAGUGACACUGCGCCGAAAAUGUACCGGGGCUAAACAUAUUACCGAAGCUGUGGAUUGUCCUUUGGACAAUGGUAGGAGAGCGUUCUAAGGGCGUUGAAGCAUGAUCGUAAGGACAUGUGGAGCGCUUAGAAGUGAGAAUGCC